AGAGGUGAAAUUCUAAGACAUCAAUCAGCAAUGACUGAAGAAAUGGAUUUAAACCUCCUUAUUUAGAGGAAGGAGAAGUCGUAACAAGGUUUUCGUAG
rnacentral:rRNA from 1 species